CCCUGCCGGUCGGGCCCCGCUCAGUGCCCUGGCGUCCCAGGCGCGUUUUGAUGCCAGCAGCGAGUACAGCGCGCCGUACGCAGGAUCGUGUAGCCUCCGCGGCGGCUGCUUUGCGCGCCCAGCUGGAUUUGUGCGGGGUUCCCGCCUCGCAGCCCGUCUCCAGUCCUGACCGGGAGUGUGCCGUGCGCCGCUUGGGCGAGACAAGGCAAAGUGGGAGGGCUUUGCGGCGCUGGGGCUGCCUGCGGGUGGGAAGCUGGCCGGGUGGUGCCCCUGGGGAGGUGCCCAUUUCCCACGGGUGCGGAGGGGGAGGCGCCAGUGAGGCCUAAGCCUGCCCUUGCUCGGCGGUUGCUGGAGCCGACAGCGGAAGAGGCACGACAGAGAAUGGCGAGGUAAAGGACGUUGAGAAGAGGCGGGCCGUCGGUCUGGAGAAGAGGAGACGGGCGAGGCGCUCUGGGCAAAGGGAGUCGCCCCUGACCGAAGGUGUGGUAAGUCGAGAGCUUUGCCGUCACCUCGAGUGUGGCCUGUGUGGCUUUGCGCUGGACAACCUCCACGUAAGUAGGACUCGGUCUUUGCUUGUGCCGUCGUUUUCCUUUUGGCGGUUUGGUCCUUUGGCUGCCCGGAGCCCGGCUGCCCUGUAAGGAAGGCGCGAGGCGGUGUCUCCACGCCCGUUGGGGAAAGGGAUCAACCUGGUCCCCGAGCCCCCCCUGUAAGCGGGGUAGGGUCCUUUCCGCAGCCCCGGCAGCUUGUCAGCUGUGGGCUGCCUGUGCAGCGUGACCCCCUGUGCUCGGGGCGUGUCGCGGCUUUUGUCCUUUGGCCGCCCCUGAGGGCCUUUGGUGUCCCGAGGCUUCCUUGAGCUCCACAGAGUCUGGUGCGGCCAAGUCUGACCCUCUUCUCUCCUGCUGCGGGGUAAGGAUGACUGUCCCAUCGGUGGCUGCCCAGAGCUUGCUCCCUCUCCUGGGAAGAGAUGUGCGUAUGGCCCCCUCCCUUGCCUCUGUGUGUGCUUGUGUGCCUGAGCGUGCUUGUGGUGUAGGUUGCUGUGAAAAGUGCUGUAGCUUAGCUUAGGCUUCCCAGGAGGGAAAGAGGGGCUCUGGGCAGUAACAGGGGAGUCUCCUCGGAGUGCCCGAGCGGAGUGGGAGCUCAGCUUACCCCUCCUUGUCCUGUAGGGACAGAGCGUAGGCCCUGUUGUUGAGGGCCUGGGUGUGUGCCUCCGUGGCAGCCUGUCCUGUUGUCAAGGUGGCAUCUCAAGGGCCCUGUAGUCGGGGCCUGUGUGAUGAGCUGUGGAGCCUUGUGUCCCUGUGUGUUGCCAGGAGCGGCCCGAGGUCCCGGUGAGCAGGUCCUAGGAGGCUGUUUUGGGCAGCUGAGUGGAGCGCACGUUCCUGGGCCCUUAGAGGGUGGAGGUGGCUCCCUGGGCUCCUGAAGAGGUGUUGCUGUGCUGCAGGCAGGUGGGCCGUCCCGUAAGUUGGGCGCAGUCCGGAGCCCGUGGCUCCGUAGGCGUUUUUGGGAGUGCCGAGGCGAGAGCGGCCGCCCUGUAAGUGGGGCUGUGCGUCGCGGUGCCCGGCGGGAGGUUGGAGGGAGCCCCCCUGUAAUCAGGGUGGGUACGUCUGGCCCCAGGCUUUCAGAGGCAUGGCGUCAGGUUUGUUCAUCUCAGCGUGUACCCCUCGGCCCCAGGCUUAGUGUUGGUGGAGUCUCCCGCCAUGACCCAGGUCUUUGGCUGCGAAAGCCCGCUGCCUGGCUCCUGAGUCUGCUUCCUGUAGCUGCGGGGCUAGGCCAUGCUCUCGACUCCCCGGCAUCGACCCACCCGUAAGCGGUCCCCGGGUCCGAGUGCCUUUGCGCUCAGCUAGCAGCCCGUGUGGGGUGCCCGCGUCCUUAGCGGGGUGCGGGUGUAGAUGGCCCUAAACUGGAGAGAAGGAGCCUCCGUAGGCCCCUGGGACCAGGGUUGCCCUGCCGGUCGGGCCCCGCUCAGUGCCCUGGCGUCCCAGGCGCGUUUUGAUGCCAGCAGCGAGUACAGCGCGCCGUACGCAGGAUCGUGUAGCCUCCGCGGCGGCUGCUUUGCGCGCCCAGCUGGAUUUGUGCGGGGUUCCCGCCUCGCAGCCCGUCUCCAGUCCUGACCGGGAGUGUGCCGUGCGCCGCUUGGGCGAGACAAGGCAAAGUGGGAGGGCUUUGCGGCGCUGGGGCUGCCUGCGGGUGGGAAGCUGGCCGGGUGGUGCCCCUGGGGAGGUGCCCAUUUCCCACGGGUGCGGAGGGGGAGGCGCCAGUGAGGCCUAAGCCUGCCCUUGCUCGGCGGUUGCUGGAGCCAACAGCGGAAGAGGCACGACAGAGAAUGGCGAGGUAAAGGACGUUGAGAAGAGGCGGGCCGUCGGUCUGGAGAAGAGGAGACGGGCGAGGCGCUCUGGGCAAAGGGAGUCGCCCCUGACCGAAGGUGUGGUAAGUCGAGAGCUUUGCCGUCACCUCGAGUGUGGCCUGUGUGGCUUUGCGCUGGACAACCUCCACGUAAGUAGGACUCGGUCUUUGCUUGUGCCGUCGUUUUCCUUUUGGCGGUUUGGUCCUUUGGCUGCCCGGAGCCCGGCUGCCCUGUAAGGAAGGCGCGAGGCGGUGUCUCCACGCCCGUUGGGGAAAGGGAUCAACCUGGUCCCCGAGCCCCCCCUGUAAGCGGGGUAGGGUCCUUUCCGCAGCCCCGGCAGCUUGUCAGCUGUGGGCUGCCUGUGCAGCGUGACCCCCUGUGCUCGGGGCGUGUCGCGGCUUUUUGUCCUUUGGCCGCCCCUGAGGACCUUUGGUGUCCCGAGGCUUCCCUGAGCUCCACAGAGUCUGGUGCGGCCAAGUCUGACCCUCUUCUCUCCUGCUGCGGGGUAAGGAUGACUGUCCCAUCGGUGGCUGCCCAGAGCUUGCUCCCUCUCCUGGGAAGAGAUGUGCGUAUGGUCCCCUCCCUUGCCUCUGUGUGUGCGUGUGCUUGUGUGCCUGAGCGUGCUUGUGGUGUAGGUUGCUGUGAAAAGUGCUGUAGCUUAGCUUAGGCUUCCCAGGAGGGAAAGAGGGGCUCUGGGCAGUAACAGGGGAGUCUCCUCGGAGUGCCCGAGCGGAGUGGGAGCUCAGCUUGCCCCUCCUUGUCCUGUAGGGACAGAGCGUAGGCCCUGUUGUUGAGGGCCUGGGUGUGUGUCUCCGUGGCAGCCUGUCCUGUUGUCAAGGUGGCAUCUCAAGGGCCCUGUAGUCGGGGCCUGUGUGAUGAGCUGUGGAGCCUUGUGUCCCUGUGUGUCGCCAGGAGCGGCCCGAGGUCCCGGUGAGCAGGUCCUAGGAGGCUGUUUUGGGCAGCUGAGUGGAGCGCACGUUCCUGGGCCCUUAGAGGGUGGAGGUGGCUCCCUGGGCUCCUGAAGAGGUGUUGCUGUGCUGCAGGCAGGUGGGCCGUCCCGUAAGUUGGGCGCAGUCCGGAGCCCGUGGCUCCGUAGGCGUUUUUGGGAGUGCCGAGGCGAGAGCGGCCGCCCUGUAAGUGGGGCUGUGCGUCGCGGUGCCCGGCGGGAGGUUGGAGGGAGCCCCCCUGUAAUCAGGGUGGGUACGUCUGGCCCCAGGCUUUCAGAGGCAUGGCGUCAGGUUUGUUCAUCUCAGCGUGUACCCCUCGGCCCCAGGCUUAGUGUUGGUGGAGUCUCCCGCCAUGACCCAGGUCUUUGGCUGCGAAAGCCCGCUGCCUGGCUCCUGAGUCUGCUUCCUGUAGCUGCGGGGCUAGGCCAUGCUCUCGACUCCCCGGCAUCGACCCACCCGUAAGCGGUCCCCGGGUCCGAGUGCCUUUGCGCUCAGCUUGCAGCCCGUGUGGGGUGCCCGCGUCCUUAGCGGGGUGCGGGUGUAGAUGGCCCUAAACUGGAGAGAAGGAGCCUCCGUAGGCCCCUGGGACCAGGGUUGCCCUGCCGGUCGGGGCCCACUCAGUGCCCUGCUCCGAGUAACUCGGAAAUCUUGUCCCGUAAUCACAGACCUCAAAGAUUUUCCUAGACCUGCCUGUGCUUCCAUUAACUCAAAAAUCUCAUCUCUGUUCUCUGUAAUAUUGUGUGCGCUCCUAGUACGGAUGCAGUGGUCUCUGUGGCCAUCCCAUGAAGUCCAAAUGCCCUUCCUAGUGGUUUUGCGGCUUCUAGUGUUCUUGGUAAUGCCCCAUCUCCUCCUCAGUGCUGCCAUUGUUUGUAGUGUGGCCCUUGUAUCUUUGUAGUAUCACCGCGUCUCUUUCUGCUGCUGCCAGUAAAACGAAGUGCUGCCCAGUCCCUCUCACUGCUCCCCAUAAUACUCAGUGCCCCCCAGUCCCUGCAGCAUUCUCUGUGAUACUCUAUGCCAUACAGCGCUCCCAAUGUGGCCCUAGUGCCCUGUAGUUCCUCCCUCCCCUCUCAGUAAUUGCAAAACCUGUUCUUGGUACUCCUGGACCUCCCUGUGCCUGCCCCCGUGCCAUUUUCUGUGAAAACUUAGAGAAGGUUGUUCUCCAGAUAUGGUAGUGGAUUAGUUGUAGUGGUGGGAUUGUGAACUUGUGGCCAGACUUGGUGAUCUCAAGGGUCUCUUCCAGCCUCAAGAGAUCUGUGGUUCCAUGAUUUUGAAAUGACAAUCAGGAGAGGGCAGUUAGUGUCAGCUACUGCAUAUCACUUAAUAUUUACUUGUUUCCUUCAUGGUUCUUUAUUAUGUCAUGCUCAAGGAAUCUGCACAAGGCUGCCCUGGGAGGUGGUGGAGUCUCCGUGCCUGGAGUUGUCCAAGCUGCGAGAUGGAGGUGCACCCUCAGAGGUUUGCAGAUGGCCCCAAACAGAGUGGUGCUGUGGAGAAAGCAGAGGGACAGAAUGGCAUCCAGAAAACACCUGGGCAGGCAGGAGAGCUGGGCCCAGGUGAAGCUUGUGAGGUUCAACAAGAGCAAGGGCAGGGUGCUGGACGUGGGCAGGAGCAAGCCUGCCUGUCACUGCAGGCUGGGGGCGGAGGCAAUAAAGAGUAGCCCUGGGGGUGCUUGGGAGAAGCUGAGUGCAAGCACAUGGUGUGAGCUCGCAGGCCAGGAGGAGCCUGUCGGUGUCUGCAGGGGUGUGCAAGCAGCUGUAGAAGUCUGCCCAGGUCUGUAGAUGUCUGCAGGGGUCUUCUAAAAGGUCUGGAGGCUUUUCUGAGUUUGCAGAGGUGUGUGGGGGUCUGGAGACAUCUGUAGGUACCCUUAGGGGUCUGGAGGGCUCUCUUGAAGUCUGUGGAGUUCUCUGGGUGUCUGUGGAGGCGGUUAGGGGUCUGUAGAGGUGUCUGUGGUGCUGUAGGUGUCUCAAAAGGCUGUAAAGGUCUUGAAGUGCCUUGCAAAGGUCUCGAGGUGUCUGUAGAGGUCUUUAGGGGUCUGCAGGGUUCUCUGGAAGUCUGUAGAGGAGUUUGUGUUCCAGAGCAUGCUUGUCGUUUAGGUUGCUGUGAAAAGUGCUGUAGCUUAGGCUUCCCAGGAGGGAAAGAGGGGCUCUGGGCAGUAACAGGGGAGUCUCCUCGGAGUGCCCGAGCGGAGUGGGAGCUCAGCUUGCCCCUCCUUGUCCUGUAGGGACAGAGCGUAGGCCCUGUUGUUGAGGGCCUGGGUGUGUGCCUCCGUGGCAGCCUGUCCUGUUGUCAAGGUGGCAUCUCAAGGGCCCUGUAGUCGGGGCCUGUGUGAUGAGCUGUGGAGCCUUGUGUCCCUGUGUGUCGCCAGGAGCGGCCCGAGGUCCCGGUGAGCAGGUCCUAGGAGGCUGUUUUGGGCAGCUGAGUGGAGCGCACGUUCCUGGGCCCUUAGAGGGUGGAGGUGGCUCCCUGGGCUCCUGAAGAGGUGUUGCUGUGCUGCAGGCAGGUGGGCCGUCCCGUAAGUUGGGCGCAGUCCGGAGCCCGUGGCUCCGUAGGCGUUUUUGGGAGUGCCGAGGCGAGAGCGGCCGCCCUGUAAGUGGGGCUGUGCGUCGCGGUGCCCGGCGGGAGGUUGGAGGGAGCCCCCCUGUAAUCAGGGUGGGUACGUCUGGCCCCAGGCUUUCAGAGGCAUGGCGUCAGGUUUGUUCAUCUCAGCGUGUACCCCUCGGCCCCAGGCUUAGUGUUGGUGGAGUCUCCCGCCAUGACCCAGGUCUUUGGCUGCGAAAGCCCGCUGCCUGGCUCCUGAGUCUGCUUCCUGUAGCUGCGGGGCUAGGCCAUGCUCUCGACUCCCCGGCAUCGACCCACCCGUAAGCGGUCCCCGGGUCCGAGUGCCUUUGCGCUCAGCUUGCAGCCCGUGUGGGGUGCCCGCGUCCUUAGCGGGGUGCGGGUGUAGAUGGCCCUAAACUGGAGAGAAGGAGCCUCCGUAGGCCCCUGGGACCAGGGUUGCCCUGCCGGUCGGGGCCCACUCAGUGCCCUGCUCCGAGUAACUCGGAAAUCUUGUCCCGUAAUCACAGACCUCAAAGAUUUUCCUAGACCUGCCUGUGCUUCCAUUAACUCAAAAAUCUCAUCUCUGUUCUCUGUAAUAUUGUGUGCGCUCCUAGUACGGAUGCAGUGGUCUCUGUGGCCAUCCCAUGAAGUCCAAAUGCCCUUCCUAGUGGUUUUGCGGCUUCUAGUGUUCUUGGUAAUGCCCCAUCUCCUCCUCAGUGCUGCCAUUGUUUGUAGUGUGGCCCUUGUAUCUUUGUAGUAUCACCGCGUCUCUUUCUGCUGCUGCCAGUAAAACGAAGUGCUGCCCAGUCCCUCUCACUGCUCCCCAUAAUACUCAGUGCCCCCCAGUCCCUGCAGCAUUCUCUGUGAUACUCUAUGCCAUACAGCGCUCCCAAUGUGGCCCUAGUGCCCUGUAGUUCCUCCCUCCCCUCUCAGUAAUUGCAAAACCUGUUCUUGGUACUCCUGGACCUCCCUGUGCCUGCCCCCGUGCCAUUUUCUGUGAAAACUUAGAGAAGGUUGUUCUCCAGAUAUGGUAGUGGAUUAGUUGUAGUGGUGGGAUUGUGAACUUGUGGCCAGACUUGGUGAUCUCAAGGGUCUCUUCCAGCCUCAAGAGAUCUGUGGUUCCAUGAUUUUGAAAUGACAAUCAGGAGAGGGCAGUUAGUGUCAGCUACUGCAUAUCACUUAAUAUUUACUUGUUUCCUUCAUGGUUCUUUAUUAUGUCAUGCUCAAGGAAUCUGCACAAGGCUGCCCCGGGAGGUGGUGGAGUCUCCGUGCCUGGAGUUGUCCAAGCUGCGAGAUGGAGGUGCACCCUCAGAGGUUUGCAGAUGGCCCCAAACAGAGUGGUGCUGUGGAGAAAGCAGAGGGACAGAAUGGCAUCCAGAAAACACCUGGGCAGGCAGGAGAGCUGGGCCCAGGUGAAGCUUGUGAGGUUCAACAAGAGCAAGGGCAGGGUGCUGGACGUGGGCAGGAGCAAGCCUGCCUGUCACUGCAGGCUGGGGGCGGAGGCAAUAAAGAGUAGCCCUGGGGGUGCUUGGGAGAAGCUGAGUGCAAGCACAUGGUGUGAGCUCGCAGGCCAGGAGGAGCCUGUCGGUGUCUGCAGGGGUGUGCAAGCAGCUGUAGAAGUCUGCCCAGGAGAUGCGGAGUUCUCAUCUCACUGAAGAUCUUGGAAAAGUUGUGUUUUGCUGCCCACCAUGCGUGUCUCUGCUACGAAUGUGCAAGCGGGAGGAGUGGCUGAUACUUCUUGAAGCUGUGCUACUCUUCAGGCCCAUUUUAGCAGGUUGGGGAGCUGCAGACAGGACACCUGAGGAAGGUCAGCAAAGGUAAGUGUGGAGUCCUGCAUGUGGGGAGAAAGAAGUAUUAGAUGUUGUAUCUUUCAUCCCGCUGUGUUCUAAAAUCUCUUAAGAACAAGUGUUGGCUUGGUAGAGUCUAUCUAUUUUGUCUAUUAUAUAUAAAGGCUUCUAGACUAUAACCUCAAAUAGAGCUGCAUGAGGUUUUCUAUAUACACAACUCAUAUUUUGAAAACAGUGAAUUUUCCAUUGUGUGUGUUUGUAGCAGACAUAAUGAGAUGGGUGAAGGAAGAGAAUUAUCCUUAAGGACAUUGUUAAAGUAUUGAAAUGACAGCAUGGUGAUGAUGGCAAUGGGAAAGGCUCUUGGAAAGCACAUGUUAAGAGGGGUAAGGUUGUGGGGUGGUUAGGAAUGUUCUUAGGAGACAUUUGUAUAGAGGCCAAAGAGAGGAUGGUGCAGAUGAAGAGAAUGUUAUCUAGAGUUGUAAGGAGCCCAGAAGAAGACAGGAGAACCAAUUCUAAGCUGGCUAGGGAGAUAUUGUGUUACAGGUGCCAGCAUUCUAGAGGUUGGUGACAAGCCUGCAAACCACAUAGGGCCACUUAAAAAGGCAAGUGGAAUCGACUAAUACAUAGCAAGCUCUCUUGGUAAGAUUACACUGUGGGCAUGCCUUUGGUUGGCUGUGCUACGGAGGUACCCUUCUGGAGGAGAUUUGCCAGAGACAUCUAGGAAGUGGACCACACUUGAGCAGGGAAUUAAGCUUCUGAGGGAGUUUGCUGUAAAGGAAAUACUUUCUGGAGAUGACGGUAUGCAGAAUCCUGAUGAAAUUCCUGUUGGAAAAUGUCUUUGAAAGAAACUUCUUGACAUUAGAUGGAGGAGCAAGUUUAAUAGUUUGGUAAACAGGUUUGUGUGAGAGAACAAUGAUGGAAGACUUCCUACAGUUGGUGAAUUCCCUGACCAAAUGAGGCAGUUAGAGGACAUUUUGUCCCACACUUCUUUAGUGUCUGCUUUAAAAACUCAGGCUGCAGAAACGAAAGGUAGAAUAAAAAAGAUGGAGGAGGCCCUUAAAAUCUCCAUAUCUAAGUUGGUGAAGGAAAAAGCAUUUCAUCUGGAGAUGAAUCCAGUACCAGUUGAACAGUUUACCUCAGGAGUGGAAACACAGUUGGACAAUGUGUCAUUCGGUCAUCCACAAUGCAUUGGAGAAAGGUAAAGUCCCAGAACAUCUGCAAUUCAUCAAUGACAACAUUGUGUGGGACCAAACUGCUGAGGAAGCCUUUGAGAAAGGUAACACAAUAAUUGACAUUUGGUUGAAGGCAGGUUUUACCAUAAAGAGGACAAAGUAAAAGGACCUGCCAGACAAAUACAGGCAGGAUGGUCACUGUCACAUUCCACAGGAUGUGCUAAAGGAAUUCUCCACCAUGGCAGUUCCUGUGACUAAAGAAGACCCUUCCAGUUUCUUGGGUGCAGUGGGAUUUUUGGAAACCUGGAUUCAGUCAGAUUGUUAAACCUCUGCAAGAUGUGACUUGUGAAAGGAGCAAUUUUGAGUGGGGACCUGAGCAGCAAGCAGCCUUUGAUCAGAUCAAGUGAGUAGUCCGUGCAGUGGGCUUGGGAGCAGUUCAGACUGGUCCAGACAUGAAAAACAUUCUGCAUCCAAAUGCAAGUGGCAGUGGCCCAACCUGGAGCCUUUUGGCAGAGAGCUCCAAAUGAGACAUGUGGUUGUGCACUUGGUUUCUGGAGUCAUUGGUGCAGAGGUUCAGGAGUGAAUGACAUUCCAAAAGAGAAAGAAAUACUAGCAGCUCCUGAAAGAGUAAAAGCACUUCUGAAGUAAUUUGAACAGAGUCACAACUUUCAGCUUCUAGAUUACCAGUUCUGAACUGGAUGUUCCAAAGGCAAAGGUUUCUCACCACAUCAUGCCACAGAUGCACCCUGGUUUAAGUGGAUAGCUUUGGUAAGCCUAGGAGCACAAAUGGGUACUCUUGCAUGACCUGGUCUGGUGGAAGUGUUCACUAAUUGGCCAGAAGGUACAAACUGUCCCAAAUCUCCAGUAGAGAGAGUAACCUGUGAUGAGGAAUUUUCUCCUUAUGGUGAUCUCUCUGAUCAGGACAAGAACAAUGCUUUGUUGACAGACGAUUCCUGUUGUCUUGUCGGGAAGAAGCAAAGAUGGAAGUCAGCAGUCUGGAGUCCCGGCAGGAGAGUUACAGAAGUGAGAGAUGGAGAAGGUGAAUCCAGUCAAUUUGCUGAAGUAAAAGCUGUCCAGCUUGCUCUUGAUGUGGCCGAAUGUGAAAACUUGGCUAUCCUUUACCUCUACGCUGACUCGUGGGUGGUAGCCAAUACUCUAUAGGGUUGUCUAAAAGACUGGAAAAAGAACUGGUGGCAGUUGAAUAAAAGUCUAUUUGGUGUGCUGGUCUAUGGGAGGAAAUUGAUGUUUGCCUUGAGAAAAUGCCAGCGCAAGUGCAGCGCAGAAACACACACAGGCCUAAGAACAAAGCUACUCAGGAACGUAAACACAACCAUGGGGCAGAUCAAGCUGCUAGAGUUUCUCAAGUUGAUACAAAGUAUGAUCUUGACCUCGAUAGGAAACAUGGAGGUGAGCUGUUCUGGGCUUGGUGGGCCCUUCAUUCAUUUGGACACCAAGGCCGAGAUGCAACUUACUGGUGAGCAUGUGACACGUCAAUGGACUUCUCCAUGGAUCACAGGAUAUUAGGGGUUGGUAGGUAAAUAGGGUGUGUGAUACGGUAGAAGUAACCACUAGGUGUGUGGAAUAGGCUGCAUGCUGUUUUUUAAUGAACGAAUCACAAGAUGCCAGAAUGUACUAACUGCCACAUGAACAGAACUCAAAAAGUGUCUAAGAGAUACACAGUAAAGGUCUUGGGAAUCUUGCGGCGUUUGCCACAGUCGAGGUUCCGUAAACAGAACGGGACCUGCACAAUCAGGUUUGUUGCAAACAGUGGACGGUAAUAAAAUUCCUGUUGUGCGUGAAAAGAAUCUGUUAGGAAAAGCUGUUUGGGAACUUUCUCCUUUGGGUGAAGAGAAACCUGUGCGAGGGGUGGUUUCCGCUGAAGGUCCUGGUCAUCCAUACCGGGUAAUGCAGGAGAAUGGUGAAAUCCAGUGUAUUCCAGGAAGAAAUCUAACUUUAGAUGAGAGACUUAAACCUCAGAGCGCAUAAUAGAAGCUGUAAGAACUUGUGUUUGGGGUACAAUGCGGCAUCAAAAAGACGAAUCUUUGAGAGAUCUACAGUACAAGGGCAUGAAGCUAUGUCACUUGGGAGUUCCUGUUUUCAUGUCAUCUGUGAAGAGACAAACCGUUUCCUGUCUUCUGGUCUUUUGAGUCGCCUACAUCUAAGAUAGCUGGAAUGAAGUAUGAAGUGGUGUUGCAGAGGGGAAAUGAAUUGGUGGGAGAUGAUAGUCUACAAAAACAUAUAAUUUAUUAACUUUAAUAUUCUGAACUCUUGCCAACCCCAACCACUGAAUUGUAAUAUUAAUAUUUGUUCUUACAUGCUUAUGGAAGACAUUCUAGGAAUAUCAGCAAACAGAACUAUUAUUAUCUAGCAAACAUUCAAACUAUAAACAGAGAGAGGAAUUUCCCCACAGCCAAAUGCCACUUGGGGUCAAUCUGCUGCUUGCCCACUAGGUGGGCGGAAGCUCGUUCUGCUUUAUGGCAGAAGGCAGUAGAGAAUUACAGAGACAUUUAAAGCAUUUACUCACAAAUUCCUAUUAAUCGUCAAUCACCCUCCGGGGCUACGUCACAGCCUAUACAAGUGUCCAAUCUUCAGGGAGCUCUGCCCAUGGACUUCAAGGCUGGGAUCCUCCUGGUUUCAGGGGAAAGGAUGCAGACGUGCAGACAAUCUCUGACUUUGUUCUCAUGUCUUCUUCUGACAGGACCUGAGGUGCAGGAGGAUGUCAUACAGUCUCGGCACGAUGUCCCGCUGGCCAUGCAGGCCGAUCACGUGCAGACAGUCAAGGGUCUGCUCCUGGUAACUUGCGGCAGUGGAGUUUACCAGGCAGCAGUAAGGCAGCGGUCGUGCAAUAGGGUGGACGGGAGACUGGGCUCCGUAGAGAAAGGCAGGCAAUACAAGCAAAUAGCAACAAGCAGUGAAGCAAAAGCAAGCAAGCAGGCAGGCACUUUGUUUACCUGUGUACCUCCUAUUUAUCACAUGUGGGCUGAGAAUAAUGGCCCCUUGGCUGUCAGAAUGACCAAUGAGCUUGGCAGUUAACCAAAGCAUACCAUAAUAGGCAAGGGCCACAGGCCUGGCCUCACCCGAAUAUGGGGCUAGCAUGGGCCUUGCACAUAGUAAGCUGCAAGCUAGGUGCAUGGGCUUACCCAAGCGCGUUACACAACUUGGGCCCUGGGCAGGCCAGACUUUAUGGCGCCAGGUCUAUUGUGGCCUUUUUGCGUUUGUUUGUAUCCGUUUAAUGUGUUUACCCCUGGUACGGGCAGAAAAACACGUCCAGGCAAGACAGAACAUGUAUAAGCCUAUUUUGGGCAACUGGAAACACAGACUUUACAAGGAUGGAUAAAUAUUUUUUUAGAUUUGACAGAUGACUGUAUGUAAAACAGUGAAUGAUCUAGAGGAGUGAUUUGUCAUGGUUUGAGGCCAAUUGCGAUAUUUUAAUGAAGGAAUGAGAUGAUUGGUUGUAAAAGGAAAAUAAUGAUGAAGUCUGUCAUUCAUUGGUCUGCUUUCUGGGAUAGAAAGAAUGUCAACAAUUUGUACCACUCUGGUCUGUGACGCUGGAUCUAAUAGCUUCCUCCUCAUUCUGUUCUGGUGUCUGUUCUACUGAUUGUGGCUAUCAGGAAACAAUGUUUCAGCCGCUCACAGUUACUUAAAACUUGCUGUAAGGGGCCACUAGGCUCUUUUGUGUGUGGCACACUGGGGUAACCUUACAGGGCCUCCUGUAAUACUAGAGAAUUCCUAAGACAUCACUCUAAGUGCUCUGUGGGUAUGGGCACACCAAUAUUGGUAGGCUCUUCUCCUGUUGCGUCUAUAAUUCUUUGUCUGCCCUUGCAGAUCAACUCACCUAUUGCUUCCAUUUGAGUUUGAAUGCUUGUUUUUGGUCGAUUAUAAGAUUGCAUUGUUUGUCAAGGGCACCGCUUGCCUGGGGAUCCUUUCCCCCUUUUCCUUUUUACCAUUGACAAACCAUGGCAAAAGAGUGCGUGACACGGUUACGGACGAGCAGCAAUAGCGAUAGUUCAGCGAGUCGUCGGCUGACAGCACCGGCAGCAAUCUUUUGAGCAAACUUCUGCAAGACAGACUCAAGGAGAAACCGUUAUAGAUUGACAGGCAUCAGUACCACAGAAAAGUGGCAGAAGAGGAGCAAUAUCGGCAUUAGCGAUACCCACAGCGUUUCUAAGCCACUGAAUGUUGCCCAGGAGCGUCUGCGCAUCAGUAAGGAUAGUUAACUUUACAUCCAAUUCAACCUUUGGUGGCUGAAUAACUGAAUCAGAAUUUUUCUACUCUAGAUAAUUCCAAGGCGCCCUCUGCUGAACCUUCUCAGCUGCUACUGUUAAACCUUUCUCUCUCAGUUUUGCAGUGAUGUGGUUUGUAUCUUGAUCAGUGAAUUGUGUCCGUCUGCAGAACAGCAUGUCAUGCAUAUAGUGGUAAAUGAUGACCUCAGACCAGAGGAUCAAAUGGGUGCCAAAGCCCAAGCCACAUAUAGUU